UUUAAUUUCUAUUAGACAUGAAAUAUUGGUUUCUACUCUCUUUUCACAUCACUGCGUGACGUAAUAAUAAUUGAUAAUCGAUCGUUUGCGUUGGUUAGCAACAAGGCAAUAAUUUACGAUUCUGUAUUGUUACCGACGCCAAUUUUCAACGUGCUGUGAUACAGUGAGGAUACAGGAAAAUAAUAUAUUGUUAUUAAAACAUUCAUUUUAUUAGCUGCAGAGAAGGUAAGUACAUUUAUGUAUGUAAUACCUAUUUUUAUUUCAUGCUCUUAAAGUUUUCCGUAUAACAUUCAAUUUGCAGUUACACAAAUUUUAAAAAUGUCUGAGAAACGUUAUAAAAAAUAUAAAUUUAUAAAGAAUCAAAUAGCUUCUAUCCAGAAUCGGAGUCUAGACACAAUAGAGGAAUCUAGAAUUAUGCCAACUAAUUCACCAGCAAUCGCCAAUCCUAUACCUUUCAAUCUAAAUCAAUCAUUUGAUCUUCAGAUUAUAAAUAAACAAAAUAUAGAAACAAAUUGUAAUACUGCAAAUAAUCAACCUACCGACCUGACGAAUUUAAAAUUACUUAGUUUUUUAAAAACAUGGUCCGUCGAAAAUAAAAUUAAUCACUCUCAACUGAGUAAUUUAUUAAAGGGUUUGAAGGAUAUUUUUCCAGAAUAUGAACUUCCACGCGAUGCUCGCACUCUGUUAAAAACUAAACGAUCAUCAAAUAUUGUGUCAGUCUUAAGCAAAACGAAGACAAUAGCUCAGUACACAUAUUUUGGUAUAAAAGAGUAUCUAUUAACGUUGCUACAAAAUGAAAAUGUAUUUACUGAACUAAAAGAAACACUUAUGUUUCGAUUAAUUUUUAAUAUCGAUGGCAUUCCGAUUUCAAAAAGUUCGAACAAACAGUUUUGGCCCAUUUUAUGCAAAUUAAUAUUAAACAAUUGUACGGUGUCUCCUUUUCCGAUAGCAAUAUAUUAUGGUAAUGCAAAACCGAAUUCCUUGGUUGAUUACUUAAAUGAUUUUAUACGUGAAUUAAAUGAUAUUUUAGAGCAUGGAUUAUUUUACAAUAAUACUUAUUUUAAAGUAGAUGUUAUAUGCUUUACGUGUGAUGCACCUGCAAGAGCAUUUUUAAAAAAUAUUAAGGGACAUACAGGUCGCAAUAGCUGUGAAAGAUGUACAGAAGAAGGUACAUAUUAUAAAAAACGAAUUAUCUAUGAAAACCAUAAUGCUAGUGCUCGGACACAUUUUGAUUUUGAACAUUUCCGCGACAUGAACCACCAUCAAAACGAUGAAAGGAUACCUUUAUUAAAUAUAAUUAAAUUAGAUAUAAUAAAACAUUUUGCUUUAGAUUAUAUGCAUUUAUGCUGUUUAGGAGUCAUGAAGAAAUUACUUGGUCAUUGGUGUAAGAUAGAGUUUAGAUUACAACAGAGAAACAAAUUAUCUGAAAGAAUGGUUUCUGCUGCAAAAUAUUUACCAAGUGAAUUUAAUCGUAAAUCACGACCCAUAUCGGAACUACCUAGAUACAAAGCUACGGAGUUUCGUUUAUUUCUCUUGUAUUUGGGGCCAAUUGUUUUGAAGGGAGUUCUUCCAAAUGAGCAUUAUAAGCAUUUUUUAUUAUUUCACGCAGCUAUUAGAAUUUUGCUACAUAAUAAAUUACGUUUAAACGUAGAGUGGCUAAACAAAGCUCGAGAAAUGCUAAUUUUAUUUGUAAAUAAUUCUUCUGCUUUGUAUGGUAGAGAAUUUUGUAUAUAUAAUGUUCAUAAUUUAGUGCACAUUACAGACGAUGUCGAAAAUUUAAACUAUUCUUUGGAGGAAUUAAGUUGCUUCCCUUUUGAAAAUUACUUGGGAAAGCUAAUAAGCAUGCUACGUAGAUGGAAUAAACCAUUGGCACAAAUAACAAAAAGGUUAUCGGAAAAUGGAGCACCUACAGUCAUAAAAAAUGUUAACGAAAUAAUUGUUAAAGUACAAAAUAAUAAAAAAAAAGUACAACUUCCUUAUUUUGAUUUAAAAGCUUAUGGGUUUCGUGAUUGUUAUAUUUUUGUAACGAAUGAUUAUGUCCUGCAAAUCACAAACAUAUUAGAAAAUAAAAUAGUUGGCAAAUUAUCAACAAAAUUAGAAACUUUUUACAAAUACCCUGUCGAAUCCAAAAUAAUAGGAAUAUUUAAAUUUAAUAAUUUCACAGAUGAAAUUAUUUCAUUUGGUCUGAAUGAAAUUGCGCAUAAAGCAUUUAUAGUUAAAUACCACUCGUACUUUGUAGCAUAUGAACUGCUCCAUUUAUAUAAUUAAUUAGGUAGUAUUUUAUUAUUAGUCAUUAAUUUAUCAGUUAUUAUUAUUGAUUACUUUUUCUUCUUGAACGUUAAGUACACAUACACACAUAUACACUUCUUCUGUUCCAAAACACUCUUAUUGGUAUAGGAUUAAUCCCAAAAUUUUUUAGAUGUCAUCCAAAAAAGCAUAUCCAAUUACACAAAAGCGACGUGCAAUUAUGUAUGAUUCCGAUUCUGCGAGUGAAAGCUCAGAAAUUAAUCAGCCUAAUACAGAAGCACCAAAUACAAAUAUUAUAACGUUAAGUAAAGAACCAUUGGCAUUGUUAAAUCGUCAAUAUGUUGAACUGAAAUAUGACAUUAAACAAAUUU